ensembl:lncRNA
UCUCUGACUUAUUUCACUUAGCAUAAUACACUCUAGUUCCUUUCAUGUUGCUGCAAAUGGCAAGAUUUCAUUCUUUUUGAUCACUGAUUAAUAUUCCAUUGUAUAUGUAUAUACCACAUUUUCUUUAUGCAUUUAUCUGUCAAUGGACAUUUGAGCUCUUUCCAUACUUUGGCUAUUGUUGAUAGUACUGCUAUAAACAUGAGGGUGCAUGUGCCCCUUCAAAAAAGCACACCUGUAUCCCUUGGAUAAAUACCUAGGAGUGUAAUCUCUGGGUCAUAGGGUAGCUCUAUUUUUAACUUUUUGAGGAACCUCCAUACUGUUUUCCAGAGUGGCUGCACCAGCUUGCAUUCCCACCUGCAGUGGAGACAUGCCAUUUCUUUCACCAGAGGUGAGAUGGCUUGAAGUUAAAAAUACAUGGUAGUCCAGCAAUAUUCACCUCUCUCUUUUCUAAAUUUUAUGUGACUGGGUUAGAGAAUUCACUGACAAUUUCAGCUGCUCCAUUCCCAGGUUUUUUUUCUGUUUCUUUUUCUUUUUUUAUGUUUUUGUUUUCUCUUUUCACUUAAUAGCUUGUGUGAUAGCGGGGUCUUCCUAAGAUACUGGGGCAGUGUGGGAAAAGGUCAUGCUUGGCCAAAGACACAAAACCUCUGCCAGAAACCUGCCUUUGUGGUCCUUGGUCAGUGACUCCAUGGUUACUAAAGUGGUUCUUUAUUUUCCAUUGAGCUACAUUUCCCUUUAUAGAGCAACUUGGGAAAAGAAGGGAGGGGGAGGAAUGAUUGACAGGUUUGGGGCAUUUUUCUAUUUUGGGAUAUAAUACCACCAAAUACUAACAGAAAUAUGCUCUUGAUUCCUAAUUUUUGGGCACAGUCUCAGCAGGCUGGAAGGUCAACGAAUGUACCGAGCAUUUGGGAACCAAAAUUGCAUAUAGAGAGGUCAGAGCGAUGCUGUGUCCACACAUACUGGGCCAUGCUCAUUGAGGAAAAUAAUCCAUGGAUGGGGAGAGUACAGUACCUCACAAGCAAGGGAGUAUACUUCCUGAUGGAUUUUGUACAAGAAUGAGUUUUAUAGAGCAUUAGAAGAGGCAACACAGACAUAGGGUGUAAUUGGCUAGGUCACAGAUUUCCUCAUAAGGCUAGCCAGCUCUGUUUUAUUUUUUAAUUUUUCUUAAAGUUUAUUUAUUUUUGGGACAGAGACAGAGCAUGAAUGGGGGAGGGUCAAAGAGAAGGAGACACAGAAUCCGAAACAGGCUCCAGUCUCCAAGCUGUUAGCACAGAGCCUGAUGCGUGGCUUGAACUCAUGGACUAUGAGAUCAUGACCUGAGCCGAAGUCGGCCGCUUAACUGACUGAGCCACCCAGGCGCCCCAUGCCAGCUCAAUUUUCUAGGGUAAGGUAGGCUAGCAAAAGCUGAGUUGGGGGAUAUGAUUAGUUAUGUCAGCAUUCUUUACCGGGUGUUUUUCAUAAGUGCAGGCUGACUUCGCUUUACAUUUGUGACAUGGACUGGGCCACUGGGAUGGCUCUAUUUCGUGGGUCCUGUUAUAUGAAUUAACUUUAUCAGCAUGCUGUUCUUAUUUUAUUUGUGCUCAGUCAUGAUUACAGAGGGUCUUCUUUUUGUCUUGCACCAUUAUGAUCACAGAAUGAACUUGUCUGAUGUUGUGCAAUCCUUUUCGUUCAAUAGAACACCAUGGCCUGCUACUCGGCAAUAGCUCUGAUGCAAAAUGAACAAACCUUUUAAAAGAGUGUCAAAGAGGGGGCACCUGGGUGGCUUAGUCAGGUAACCUUCUGACUUUGGCUCAGGUCAUGAUCUCAGAGUUUGUGAGUUCAAGCCCUGCAUUGGGCUCUGUGUUGAUAACUCAGAGCCUGGAGCUUGUUCAGAUUCUGUAUCUCCUCUCUCUUCCUCUCCCCUCCUCAUGCUCUGUCUCUCCCUCUCUCAAAAGUAAGUAAACAUUUUAAAAAAUUAUAAAAGAAUGUUAAAGAGAAUAGAAGAGAGUUUUAUUUCAACCCAAGUUAGGACAUCUGCCCGCGAAACACAAUCUUCAUAAGGAAGAUACUACUGCAGGGA